GUCUACAGCCACCACCCUGAACAAGCCUGAUCCCAUCUAAUCUCAGAAGCUAAGCAGGGUCAGGCCUGGUUAGUACUUGGAUGGGAGACCACCUAGGAAGACAAGGUGCUGUAGGCU
rnacentral:rRNA from 1 species